GAUGAACGCUGGCGGCGUGCCUAACACAUGCAAGUCGAGCGAACAGACGAGCAUCUUGCUCCUCUGACGUUAGCCUCGGACGGGGGAGUAACACGUAACUAACCUACCUAUAAGCCUGGAAUAACUUAGGAAAACCGGAGCCAGUGCCUAAUACUAUAUUGAACCGCAUGGUGCAAUAGUGAAAGGCGGUUUUGCUGUCACUUGUAGAUGGAUCCGCGCCGCAUUAGCUAGUUGGUAAGGUAACGGCAUACUAAGACAACGAUGGGUAGCCGACCUGAGAGUGUGAUCGUGCACACUGGAACUGAGACAGGGUCCAGACUCCUACGGGUGGCAGCGGCAGGAGAGCUGCAGCAAUGGGAGAGAGCCUGAGGGUGCAGCGCCGCGGGAGUGAGGAAGGUCUUCGGAUCGUAAAACUCUGUUAUUAGGGAAGAAGAAAUGGGUAAGUAACUAUGAACGUCUUGACGGUACCUAAACAGAAAGCCCCGGCUAACUACGUG
rnacentral:rRNA from 1 species